rnacentral:rRNA from 1 species
GGCUGAGAGAUCAGCUGUUCCCUUCGGGGACAGAAUGACAGGUGGUGCAUGGUUGUCGUCAGCUCGUGUCGUGAGAUGUUGGGUUAAGUCCCGCAACGAGCGCAACCCUUAUGAUCAGUUGCCAGCAUUCAGUUGGGCACUCUGGUCAGACUGCCGGUGACAAACUGGAGGAAGGCGGGGAUGACGUCAAAUCAUCAUGCCCCUUAUGACCUGGGCUACACACGUGCUACAAUGGGUGGUACAACGAGCAGCGAGACCGCGAGGUCAAGCGAAUCUCUAAAAACUAUCCUCAGUUCGGAUUGCAGGCUGCAACUCGCCUGCAUGAAGCUGGAAUCGCUACUAAUCGCGGAUCAGCACGCCGCGGUGAAUACGUUCCCGGGUCUUGUACACACCGA